rnacentral:rRNA from 1 species
AGGCGGGGGGGCAUCAUCUA